rnacentral:rRNA from 1 species
UACGGUUACCUUGUUACGACUUCGUCCCAGUCAUGAAUCACACCGUGGUAACCGUCCUCCUCCCGAGGGAGGUUAGACUAGCUACUUCUGGUGCAACCCACUUCCAUGACGUGACGGGCGGUGUGUACAAGGCCCGGGAACGUAUUCACCGCGACAUUCUGAUUCGCGAUUACUAGCGAUUCCGACUUCAAGGAGUCGAGUUGCAGACUCCUAUCCGGACUACGAGAAGUUUUUUGGGAUUCGCUCCCCCUCGCGGGAUUGCAGCCCUUUGUACUUCCCAUUGUAGCACGUUUGUAGCCCACCCCGUGAGGGCCAUGAUGACUUGACGUCGUCCCCACCUUCCUCCGGUUUGUCACCGGCAGUCUCCUUAAAGUUCCCGGCAUUACCCGCUGGCAAGUAAGGACAAGGGUUGCGCUCGUUACGGGACUUAACCCAACAUCUCACGACACGAGCUGACGACAGCCAUGCAGCACCUGUCACUCAGUUCCCGAAGGCACUAAGUCAUCUCUGACAAAUUCUGAGGAUGUCAAGGGGUGGUAAGGUUCUUCGCGUUGCAUCGAAUUAAACAACAUGCUCCACCGCUUGUGCGGGCCCCCGUCAAUUCAUUUGAGUUUUAGCCUUGCGGCCGUACUCCCCAGGCGGAGAACUUAUCGCGUUAGCUGCGCCACUAAACCCUCAAGGGGCCCAACGGCUAGUUCU